UGGGGAAUUUUGGACAAUGGGCGAAAGCCUGAUCCAGCAAUGCCGCGUGUGUGAAGAAGGCCUUCGGGUUGUAAAGCACUUUUGUCCGGAAAGAAAUGGCUCUGGUUAAUACCUGGGGUCGAUGACGGUACCGGAAGAAUAAGGACCGGCUAACUACGUGCCAGCAGCCGCGGUAAUACGUAGGGUCCAAGCGUUAAUCGGAAUUACUGGGCGUAAAGCGUGCGCAGGCGGUUGUGCAAGACCGAUGUGAAAUCCCCGAGCUUAACUUUGGAAUUGCAUUGGUGACUGCACGGCUAGAGUGUGUCAGAGGAGGGUAGAAUUCUACGUGUAGCAGUGAAAUGCGUAGAGAUGUGGAGGAAUACCGAUGGCGAAGGCAGCCCCCUGGGAUAACACUGACGAACAUGCACGAAAGCGUGGGGAGCAAACAGG
rnacentral:rRNA from 1 species